UGCUAACUAGCUACGUGG
rnacentral:siRNA from 1 species